rnacentral:rRNA from 1 species
UACAACAUAGGAAAUCUGCCUUAGGGUGGGGGACAACAGAGGGAAACUUCUGCUACUACCCCAUAUGAGCUUGGUUGAAAUACCAAUCUUGAAAGUUCCGGCGCCCUAAGAUGAGCCUGUGCCUGAUUAGCUAGUUGGUGGUGUAAUGGACUACCAAGGCGACGAUCAGUAGCUGGUUUGAGAGGAUGAUCAGCCACAAUGGGACUGAGACACGGCCCAUACUCCUACGGAAGGCAGCAG